CCUACGGGAGACAGCAGUGAGGAAUAUUGGUCAAUGGGCGCGAGCCUGAACCAGCCAAGUAGCGUGAAGGAUGACUGCCCUACGGGUUGUAAACUUCUUUUAUAAGGGAAUAAAGUGAGGCACGUGUGCCUUUUUGUAUGUACUUUAUGAAUAAGGAUCGGCUAACUCCGUUCCAGCAGCCGCGGUAAUACGGAGGAUCCGAGCGUUAUCCGGAUUUAUUGGGUUUAAAGGGAGCGUAGAUGGGUUGUUAAGUCAGUUGUGAAAGUUUGCGGACCAACCGUAAAAUUGCAAUUGAUACUGGCAGCCUUGAGUACAGUUGAGGUAGGCGGAAUGCGUGGUGUAGCGGUGAAAUGCUUAGAUAUCACGAAGAAGUCCGAUUGCGAAGGCAGCCUACUAAACUGCCACUGACAUUGAUGCUCGAAAGUGUGGGUAUCAAACAGGAUUAGAUACCCGGGUAGUC
rnacentral:rRNA from 1 species